rnacentral:rRNA from 1 species
AGCAGCCGCGGUAAUUCCAGCUCCAAUAGCGUAUAUUAAAGUUGUUGCAGUUAAAAAGCUCGUAGUUGAGUUUCGGGGUCAGUAGGUUGGUCGUGCCACUGGUAUGCACUGGUCUCACUGAUUCCUCCUUCCUGAUGAACCGUAAUGCCAUUAAUUUGGUGUUGCGGGGAAUCUGGACUGUUACUUUGAAAAAAUUAGAGUGUUUAAAGCAGGCUAACGCUUGAAUACAUUAGCAUGGAAUAAUGAAAUAGGACGUUCGAUCUUAUUUUGUUGGUUUCUAAGAUUGACGUAAUGAUUAAUAGGGAUAGUUGGGGGCAUUAGUAUUCAAUUGUCAGAGGUGAAAUUCUUGGAUUUAUUGAAGACUAACUACUGCGAAAGCAUUUGCCAAGGAUGUUUUCAUUAAUCAAGAACGAAAGUUAGGGGAUCGAAGACGAUCAGAUACCGUCGUAGUCUUAACCAUAAACUAUGCCGACUAGGGAUCGGAUGAUGUUAAUUUUUUUAAUGUACUCAUUCGGCCG